ACAAGUUUGACCCCCUCAAAGAAUUCUAAUAGAUUGGCAAGUAUAUUUUGGCCGCAAUUUAGAAAAGGAAGUACGAUGAAGACUACAUUAAGUAUGGUUUCACUGUCAUGGAAAGAAACCAGAUCGAUUAUCCUCAAUGUGUAGUAUGCCACGCAGUUCUCAGCAAUGAUGCCCUGAGACAUAGUCGUCUUGAGCAACACUUGACAAAGAACCACAGCACUUUGAAAGACAAACCAAAAGAGGUUUUUGCUGUUAACUUCAAAAUUUAAAACGCAUGAAGCUGGACACUACUGGAACUUUUCAUCAAGCGUCAGCCAAAGUUAAAGAAGCAUCUUAUGAACUGUCAUUGCUCAUUGCUAAAGCCAAGAAAGCACACAUAAUAGGAGAAACUGUUGUGAAGCCUUGCUUGUUGAAAGCAGCUGAUAUUGUCCUUGGUGCCGAAAGCAAGAAAAAAAAUAUCGGAAAUUUUGCUUUCUGAUAGUUCCGUGAAAUGUCGCAUCGAUGACAUGGUGAAAGAUCUAAAACUUCAAGUUGUGGAGGCAGUGAAAGCUUCUCCUUUUUUCGCAAUUCAGUGUGAUGAUACCACUGAUGUAGCACAAUGCUGUUAGUUGCUCGUCUAUGUUCGAUGCAUUAAUGAUGGAACUGUGAAAGAAGAACUGCUUUUUUUUUGAAGGAAUUGAUGACCACAUCAAAGGCUUCUGAUGUUAUGAAAAUGGUUCCUGACUUUUUUGAAGAAAAUGGACUUUCAUGGGACUGGUUGGUGUAUGCACAGAGAGUGCUCCAGCAAUGCUUGGCUCUCACUCUGGAUUUGUGACAUUGGUGAAAGAAAAAAAUCCAGCCAUAACCACGACUCACUGCAUCAUACACAGACAAGCGCUGGCUGCUAAAAUCCUUCCAGAUGGCCAAAUUCAACUAGUCACAUAGGUCAUCAAAGUUGUCAGUCUUGUGAAGAACAGUGCUUUAAAUACGAGACUUUUUGCAACUCUUUGUGCGGAUUUGGGAGUGGAUCAUAAAAUUCUUUUGUUUCACACAGAGGUACAAUGGCUUUCCAAAGGGAACGUGCUUUCGAGAUUAUUCAACCUGAAAGACGAAGUGGAAAUUUUCCUCAAGCAAUAGAAAAAAAGAAGAAUUAUAUUGUGCGUUUACGGACCAAAUGUUUCAACUUUCACUGGCAUACCUUGUGGACAUUUUUGAAUCUUUGAACAAUCUUAGUUUGAAGCUGCAAGGAAACAAUGCUGCAAACAUUAUAGCGCACCACAAUGCCAUCAAAGCAUUUAUGGAAAAAGUCAAGCUUUGGAAACGUCAAAUGCAAGCUCAGAUGCCUAACUUUUUGUCUUUUCCAACAUUUUCAUCACUUGCUGAAAAUGAAGGUUUCCAAGAACUUUGUAAAGAGGAUGCGAAGAACAAAAUUGUGUUUCAUCUGGACUUCCUUGCUGAUGAAUUCAUCCACUGUUUUCCAGCUUUCCAACUUUUCUGGCAACUCUGUUCAUAAAUUAGCACGUAAUCCGUUCAACGUUGAUGUCGAUUCAUUGCCAGAAAUAUUGCAAGAACAAACACUCAAAAUGAAAUAUGAUUCAAGUGCGAAAGAUAUUUUUGAAAACUUAAGCCUGGAGGAAUUUUGGAUAAAAUAUUUCCCAAUUUACCUGAAAAUUGGAGAAGAAGCGCUAUGUAUUAUUCUUCCGUUUUCGUCGAUGUACUUCUGUGAAAAAAGCUUUUCAAAUUUAGUCAUGAUAAAAAUGAAACAAAGGAAUCGACUGGAUUUUGAAAACUAUUUGCUUUGCGCACUUUCAUCUUUCAAACCUAGGAUUUCCCAACUUGCGAAGAAAAUGCAGCAUCAUCCUUCACAUUAAAUUCAUUUUGUUUAUGCUAUUUCUCAUUUUAAAUUACAUUUUAUUAAAUUUUUGUGCCAAGAAAAA